UGGUGGAGUGAUUUGUUUGGUUAAUUCCGUUAACGAACGAGACCUUAACCUGCUAAAUAGCUACGCGUAGCUUCGGUUACAUGGGCAACUUCUUAGAGGGACGUUGCGUGUCUAACGCAAGGAAGUUUGAGGCAAUAACA
rnacentral:rRNA from 1 species